GAAACCAACAGGGAUUGCCCUAGUAACGGCGAGUGAAGCGGCAUCAGCUCAAAUUUGAAAUCUGGCUCUUUUAGGGUCCGAGUUGUAAUUUGCAGAGGGCGCUUUGGCGUUGGCAGCGGUCCAAGUUCCUUGGAACAGGACGUCACAGAGGGUGAGAAUCCCGUACGUGGUCGCUGGCCUUCGCCGUGUAAAGCCCCUUCGACGAGUCGAGUUGUUUGGGAAUGCAGCUCUAAAUGGGAGGUAAAUUUCUUCUAAAGCUAAAUACUGGCCAGAGACCGAUAGCGCACAAGUAGAGUGAUCGAAAGAUGAAAAGCACUUUGGAAAGAGAGUCAAAUAGCACGUGAAAUUGUUGAAAGGGAAGCGCUUGCAGCCAGACUUGCCUGUAGUUGCUCAUCCGGGCUUUUGCCCGGUGCACUCUUCUGCGGGCAGGCCAGCAUCAGUCUAGGCGGUUGGAUAAAGGCCUCUGUCACGUACCUCCUUUCGGGGAGGCCUUAUAGGGGAGGCGUAAUGCAACCAGCCUGGACUGAGGUCCGCGCAUCUGCUAGGAUGCUGGCGUAAUGGCUGUAAGCGGCCCGUCUUGAAACACGGACCAAGGAGUCUAACAUCUAUGCGAGUGUUUGGGUGUCAAGCCCGAACGCGUAAUGAAAGUGAACGGAGGUGGGAUCCCUUUAGGGUGCACCAUCGACCGAUCCUGAUGUCUUCGGAUGGAUUUGAGUAAGAGCAUGGCUGUUGGGACCCGAAAGAUGGUGAACUAUGCUUGAAUAGGGUGAAGCCAGAGGAAACUCUGGUGGAGGCUCGCAGCGGUUCUGACGUGCAAAUCGAUCGUCAAAUUUGGGCAUAGGGGCGAAAGACUAAUCGAA
rnacentral:rRNA from 1 species